ACAAAAAAAACAGAGACAAAGCGAGACGAGAGAGAAUCAAAUUGAUUUUGUCAUUCGUAAUUUCAUACUGAGUCAAGGUUUGGAAUCGAUCCUUCACUUUUUUCGAAUUGCUCAACACUGCGAGAAAUUUCUGAUUUAAUCUGAUGGGAAAGUAGUAAGCUUUUCUUGGCCACAGCUUAAGCUCCCGCUCAAAUUCACUCCCCUAACUGGAAUUGCUCCUAUCCACGAUCUAGGAUCUGAUUUCGGAAAACGUUGAGUCGUUGAUACUUAACCAAUUCCCGAUCUCGUAAUUUUUGGACUUCUGCUCAGAAUCCAAAAGCUAGUUUUGUUCACCAUAUGGAUACAGAUGGGCAAAGAGGAUCUACAAAUCCAUCAGCUAUGAUGGCCUCGCUUCUUAGCAGGAGAGCCAAGCUUCAAGAUGAGCUUCGUGGUAUUGAAAGACAAGUGGGUAGUCCUUUCAUGGCGCAGAUAUCAAUUUUAGGAAUUCGAUGUUUUUGGUUGUUUGUAAUUGGCUUUCUCAUGUCAGUUGCAGUUUUAUCGGGUUAUUGGGAUAAUAUUUCCCAUAGCUAACUGGAAGCUGUUUUUGGAGUGUAUUGCUUCACUAUUCUUUUAUGUUUAAUAUGUUUAGCUUUGUUUGAUUCAAAGUAAAAGUUUUGAAUUUAGAUGUUAGUAAGAAAC